GCCAGAGUGGCGGAAUUGGUAGACGCGCUAGACUCAAAAUCUGGUGGCCUUACGGCCGUGUCGGUUCGAGUCCGACCUCUCGUACCA
rnacentral:tRNA from 1 species